rnacentral:rRNA from 1 species
CUGCAGCUAACGCAUUAAGCACUCCGCCUGGGGAGUACGGUCGCAAGACUGAAACUCAAAGGAAUUGACGGGGGCCCGCACAAGCGGUGGAGCAUGUGGUUUAAUUCGAAGCAACGCGAAGAACCUUACCAGGUCUUGACAUCCUCUGACAACUCUAGAGAUAGAGCGUUCCCCUUCGGGGGACAGAGUGACAGGUGGUGCAUGGUUGUCGUCAGCUCGUGUCGUGAGAUGUUGGGUUAAGUCCCGCAACGAGCGCAACCCUUGAUCUUAGUUGCCAGCAUUAAGUUGGGCACUCUAAGGUGACUGCCGGUGACAAACCGGAGGAAGGUGGGGAUGACGUCAAAUCAUCAUGCCCCUUAUGACCUGGGCUACACACGUGCUACAAUGGAUGGUACAAAGGGCUGCAAGACCGCGAGGUCAAGCCAAUCCCAUAAAACCAUUCUCAGUUCGGAUUGUAGGCUGCAACUCGCCUACAUGAAGCUGGAAUCGCUAGUAAUCGCGGAUCAGCAUGCCGCGGUGAUUUAGUUCCCGGGCCUUGUACACACCGCCCGUCACACCACCCGCGUUUAG